GCUAGGGGAGCGAAAGCUGAGAGCCCGGGGUAGCCCGGAGACCCUCAUUACCUGAUCCGGUUAAUGCCGGCGUAGGGAAGCAGUAAA
rnacentral:ncRNA from 1 species